UAGGGAAUAUUGGACAAUGGGGGCAACCCUGAUCCAGCCAUGCCGCGUGAGUGAAGAAGGCCCUCGGGUUGUAAAGCUCUUUUGUCCGGAAAGAAAAGCAUUCGGUGAAUACCCGGAUGUUCUGACGGUACCGGAAGAAUAAGCACCGGCUAACUUCGUGCCAGCAGCCGCGGUAAUACGAAGGGUGCAAGCGUUACUCGGAAUUACUGGGCGUAAAGCGUGCGUAGGUGGUUGUUUAAGUCUGAUGUGAAAGCCCUGGGCUCAACCUGGGAAUGGCAUUGGAAACUGGGCAGCUAGAGUGCGGUAGAGGGUAGUGGAAUUCCCUGUGUAGCAGUGAAAUGCGUAGAGAUCGGGAGGAACAUCUGUGGCGAAGGCGACUGCCUGGACCAGCACUGACACUGAGGCACGAAAGCGUGGGGAGCAAACA
rnacentral:rRNA from 1 species